CUCUCGCGGGCUGCGGUCGGGCCCGGGAUCCUGCUCUUGGCCGGGUCGCAGUUCGCGGGCUGCUGGGGUCCGGCAGGGCUGGAGGCGGACCGCGAGGAACCGGCGCGGCCGGGAAGACGGGGCAGGGUCGCCUUGGCCCCGGGGCCUCGGUUUCCUCGGAUCACAGCGCCUCAGAGGGCGCGCACGGGCGCCGCGGAGACCUGUGUCCUGCCGGGGCGCGGCGCUAGGGGCCCCUGCUCGGGUUUUUAUUCCCAGAUCUAAGCUUACAGAGUUGGAGCACACAGUUGUAUUAAAAAGGCAAAUCGAAGGCCGGGCGCGGUAACUCACGCCUGUCAUCCUAGCACUUUGGGAGGCCGAGGAGGGUGAAUCACUUGAGGUUAGGAGUUUGAGAUCAGCCUGGCCAACAUGGUGAAACCCCGUCUCUACAAAAAUAGAAAAAUUAGCUGAGCGUGAUGGCGGGUGCCUGUAAUCCUAGCUCCUCGGGAGGCUAAGGUGGGAGAAUUGCUUGAACCUGGGAGGCAGAGAGGUUGGAGUGAGCCGAGACUGCGCCGUUGCACUCCAGCCUGAGCGGCAGGGCGAGAUUCUGUCUCAAAAAAAUAAAUGUAAAUCGGACUCCCCUUCUUAAAGCCCUCAGUGGGGCCCCGUUGUUCAUAGCAUAAAAUCUAAUUUCUUUAACAAGUCUUCUCCCCUCACCCGCUUCAUCCUGGACCACUGCCUGCCUUGCCUAAGUCCUUUCUUAUGACCUCUUUCCCACCUCUGCAGGCUGGGUUCCCUCUACUUGGGAAUGCUCUUCACCCCAUCAUUUAGACAGCAGGUUCCUUUUGGCCCUCUGGGUCUCAUUUAUAUGUUACUUCUUAAGCAUAUUCCAAAGGCCACCCCUAUUU
rnacentral:sRNA from 1 species